rnacentral:rRNA from 1 species
AGCGAACGCUGGCGGCAGGCCUAACACAUGCAAGUCGAACGAACUCUUCGGAGUUAGUGGCGGACGGGUGAGUAACACGUGGGAACGUGCCUUUAGGUUCGGAAUAACUCAGGGGAACUUGUGCUAAUACCGAAUGUGCCCUUCGGGGGAAAGAUUUAUCGCCUUUAGAGCGGCCCGCGUCUGAUUAGCUAGUUGGUGAGGUAAAGGCUCACCAAGGCGACGAUCAGUAGCUGGUCUGAGAGGAUGAUCAGCCACAUUGGGACUGAGACACGGCCCAAACUCCUACGGGAGGCAGCAGUGGGGAAUCUUGCGCAAUGGGCGAAAGCCUGACGCAGCCAUGCCGCGUGAAUGAUGAAGGUCUUAGGAUUGUAAAAUUCUUUCACCGGGGACGAUAAUGACGGUACCCGGAGAAGAAGCCCCGGCUAACUUCGUG